AGUUCCAUGGCUCAGUGGUUAGAGUACCCGCUUUACAAAACCUCUCUUGUAAUUGAGCAAUUGACACUUUGAAACCGCGGAUGGUCGAGGGUUCGAUCCCCUCUGGAACUA
rfam:Cryptococcus amylolentus CBS 6039 supercont1.8, whole genome shotgun sequence.